rnacentral:lncRNA from 1 species
CUCCUUCUCCGUAUGUCACAAGCACACGUGUACACCUCCCCCUCUGCUUUCUCUCUCUCCAUUGGAUUUGGGCGGCCCCGCCUCCCCCACCUCAGGCGCACUGAAUCGAGGAUCUACGGCGAGGUCGCCGUGGCUCCCAGGCACAACGACGUCGAGCAGGAGGAUCAGUUUCAGCUCCGGUGAUGCACUGCCGCCCCAACACCUCAUGGAUUUCGCCGCGCCAUCGAUUUCUGACCUCAUCUUCUACGCGUGCAGGUUCGCCGCGGGUCGGGGCCCCUCCUCCACGUCCUCUCCUCUCCUCUCGAUGGUUACCAGAAGACUAUGAAGCAGCAACGGCAGUGGGGAGGUGGUCUCCUCCAUGGCAAAUCCACCCUCAAAUGGUGGCGACGGCGACCGAUGGAAGAGCAGUAGCGGGUGUGCUGUCCACUUAUUUUAUUUGCAUUUUUUUCUUCAGAUUUUGGCUAUGUGCAGUCCAGUUUUUUCAGAGUUUUCGGAUUUUGCGAGCCGUGUCAGAGUUGAUAAAACUUGCGUGCAACCCUCCACGACCAAAAAUGCAGUUCGUUGUGCGUGAGUGCAGUGCGGUGUCCACGGCAUUGCGGUAACCCGAGCCCUUCUCCAGCGUCCCAUCCCCCACGGCGCACGAGAAGUGCACUAGCAGUUCACCUGAUUGUAUUUUUAAGUGGGGCAAAUUAUCUUUUUUUAGCAGUUCAUCUCGCCAUUGCGUGGCUGUUCUCUUAUUUUGAUAGAGCGGUCCAAUUGUUGCCUUUGUAUACAUAUAUCACUCUUUUUCCAUGUCCGACCCAUGUAACUCUUGGAGAGGUUCGUCCUUUGUGUGAUGUGGUUCGCUCCUUUGUCGUGUGUUCAGAAAAGGUAAAAUGCAUUGGGAGUUGAUGUGGUUCGCUCCUUUAGUCGUGUGUUCAGAAAAGGUAAAAUACAUUGGGAGUUGCAGUGCACUUCGUCGCCGCGUGUGGUUCACUACACUCGGCCUCGCAGUUUAGAUGACAUUGCAAAAAGAAAAUGUUAGCAAAAAAGUAAUAAUGCAGUUUCCUUUGUAGACAUUUGCAGUGUGUUUUUUCGUCUAAAGCAGUGCGG